UAUGCAAAAGAGAAUUGCAACAACACAGCAUGUUUCUCUUCUCCCUUUCACACACAUGCUUUGUACCUCAGGCUCAUCCGAGACAAUCGUAUCCAGGUAAAAUAAUUUUCUUUAAUCUACACACUUUUAGGAAUUAAUUAGCUAAUUUCAUGGAUAAUUUCAGUGACUGAAUUAUUGCCGGUCAUUCGUACAUUUACUUUAUUAUAUAAAAUAUGUAAAUUAAAUCUCUUUGAAACUUUUAGAAUCUAAUCUGUUGGUUUCUUUUUUUCAUAGCAUUUUAUCAAAGUGUUGUCUGCUACAAAGUUAAAAGUAUUGUACUAGUAGUAAUAUACCAUCCACUAUCUCCUGCUUGCAUAUUUCUGAAAACAUGUUAGUGGUGUGGUGGCCAUGGAUUGAGCCAGCCCUGCAAACCCUGUGGAUGGACGAUGCAGUGGACAGUGGGAGGAAGCAUCCUGAAGCUCUCUUUGCAGACCACUGUGUGUGAUUCUCCACUCGCCGACCAGAAAAGACAAACGGCAGGUCUCAGUUGCAGCACCUCAUCCAUCCAUGUCUGAUCCUGCAUCGGCAGAUUCAGCAACACAGCCAGAGACUUCCUGUAAUCUAUUACAGUUGUUAAAAAAAAAAAAAACGGUCCAGGAACAGGUCACUCAGGUUAAUCCUGUAUAAACAACUGUAAAUAUCGUUUUUUCUUCUUUAAAUAUUGUUGGCUUAUUAGAAAUAUUCUUGUUCAAUUGUUGUUGUUAUUUACUUUAUUGCCAUCAAAUAAAUAUCCAUGUAAAAUUGUCCAAAGUUAGCAUUAUGUUCAUACAUGUUAAAAAUACCUGAAAAUAAAAUGAGUUCAGUGACAGUUA